rnacentral:rRNA from 1 species
UGACUAGGAGUUAUCAGCUUGGUCUUUGGACUGGGUGUACUUGACUUCUUACAGUCUGCCAAUAGCAGAAAGUCCUAGUGGAAAAAACCAGAGGGAAGGUAGUCCUUCGGGAUGUUUAUAGACCUUUGGAAAAUACACUGGGAUUGACUGAGGAAUGCAGUAGAUGCCACUAAGGCUUCGUCUAGUGGGUGCUAGGCAAAGGUACUUGGUAUUUUCAGCUUGCUGAUGUGCUAGGUUACUCGAGUCUAGUCGCCUACUAGAACUGUAAUCUACUUUGGUUAUUGGCUUAAUGACUCUAAAUGGCCCGUCUUGAAACACGGACAAAGGAGUC